UCCUUGGCAGUCCAGUGGUUAAGACUCUGCAUUUCCAAUGCAGGGGACAUGGGUUCAGUUCCUGGUUGGGGAA
rnacentral:tRNA from 1 species